CAGGGGAGAUGUCCAUAGAAGGAACUACGAUAAACCAGCCUGGAGGGAAAAACAGUGUAGACGUGAUUGUGGUCAAAGUCAAGGCCUUGAUGAUCACAGAUUUCCACUGAAUGCCCCCAGGGAGCUUACAGUCAAGCAGGAACAAUGGACAUUACACAGACUAACACAUAAAUAUAUGUGAUCGCAAGAUGGUUUAAGUGGAAUUCUGUUAUUUACUACCAAAGGAAUCAGGACUACUGAUCAGUCUAUGCCUGUUCAAGUGUCUGAGCCUUGGAGUAGGUGCUCCCACCAGUAAGGAUGCCGCUACCCCUUUCCAGAUGGAAAUUUUCCCAGUAAGGCCCAAUUAACUUGCUCAGAAUUGGUUACCCACUCUAAGUCCCCGUCCCGCUGCAUAUGCACCUCUGUUUAUUGCAUGAUAUGUGUUGGUCUGUCUAUCCAGCCCCU